rnacentral:rRNA from 1 species
GACGAACGCUGGCGGCGUGCUUAACACAUGCAAGUCGAACGGAAAGGCCCUGCUUUUGUGGGGUGCUCGAGUGGCGAAGGGGUGAGUAACACGUGAGUAACCUGCCCUUGUCUUUGGGAUAACUUCAGGAAACUGGGGCUCUUACCGGAUAGGAGCUCCUGCUGCAUGGUGGGGGAUGGAAAGUUUCGGCGGUGGGGGAUGGACUCGCGGCAUAUCAGCUUGUUGGUGGGGUAGUGGAUUACCAAGGCUUUGACGGGUAGCCGGCCUGGGAGGGUGACCGGCCACAUUGGGACUGAGAUACGGCCCAGACUCCUACGUGAGGCAGCAGUGGGGAAUAUUGCACAAUGGGCGGAAGCCUGAUGCAGCAACGCCGCGUGCGGGAUGACGGCCUUCGGGUUGUAAACCGCUGUCGCCUGUGACGAAGCGUGAGUGACGGUAAUGGGUAAAGAAGCACCGGCUAACUACGUG